UACGGAGGGUGCAAGCGUUGUUCGGAUUUAUUGGGCGUAAAGCGCGUGUAGGCGGUUUCUUAAGUCUGAUGUGAAAGCCCUGGGCUCAACCUGGGAAUGGCGGUGGAUACUGAGGAGCUAGAGUGCGGUAGAGGAGGGUGGAAUUCCCGGUGUAGCGGUGAAAUGCGUAGAGAUCGGGAGGAACAUCAGUGGCGAAGGCGGCCCUCUGGACCAGCACUGACGCUGAGGCACGAAAGCGUGGGGAGCAAACAGG
rnacentral:rRNA from 1 species